AUUCAUCUUGCUUCCUUGUAACGUCACAAAAGAUGUUUUAUUUUAUUUCUUCAAAGUUUGCCAGCUGUAAAUGGGGCAGAUUUGGCCUGGGCACUCCCAGCUGCCAGAAUAUCCAUACAGUAUCACCUGAAAGCAGCAGUGUCUCUCCCCAGAGACUGCUUUCUUUGUUCAGUCCUGCCACGACCAGCCCUCAAGAUACGAUUGGAGGAAGUGAGAGAACGGUGCAGCGUUUCUGCUGAGAGGCAGUGGGAUAGGAUAAGGAGUGUGUUUGCAGAGCGAAAUUUGGUUUCAGUGCACACGCUGUAAGAACCAGAAUCCACCUGUUAGAACCGGGCCUUCAGCUACUUGACUUCAAAGUGACCUCAGAGUUUCACUCAAAAAGUACGGGAAACCCAAGUGUGAGAGCUUCCCUUGGCCUGCAGCCUUCCUACCUGAAAGAAGUCCGGAGUUUUUCCACUUCUCGGUCUCUCCUAAAGCCUGGAGGUGGAUACACAGGAAACUGUUUUUCCACUUCAGAUUUCUACUAAAAUGUCUUGUUAUUACAACAAACCACUUGAUUCAGCAGCACCACUUCACAGGCUGCUUUAUAAAUAGAGACGUUUCCUCUGCCCUGAAGAGCUUACAACCUACACGAGACAGACAAAAUACAGCAAAUCAGGAAAAGUAGGAUGAGCAGAAUGUUAAUGGUGAAACAGGAGAAGGUGCUGCUUGAAGGUGUGAAGUGGGCUAAGGAUUAAGAUCUUCGUGGAAGACAGCUCCCUUUUUUCAUCCUUCAUCAGACUGCUAUUGAAACAACUCGCUGAAUGAACGAACGAAUGAGUGAAUGAAUGCAACAGCAACGUCUGACUUUUGAGGGAUCCAAAAUGUUCAUUUAAAAAUUCAUUAAAUGGUCAUUUAAAAAAUAUUACAAAA